AACGCUAGCUACAGGCUUAACACAUGCAAGUCGAGGGGCAGCACUAGGUAGCAAUACUGAGGUGGCGACCGGCGCACGGGUGCGUAACGCGUAUCCAACCUUCCCGAUACUCUUGGAUAGCCUUCCGAAAGGGAGGUUAAUACAAGAUGGUGUUUCACUUUCGCAUGUUAUUGAAACUAAAGAUUUAUCGGUAUCGGAUGGGGAUGCGUGACAUUAGAUAGUUGGCGGGGUAACGGCCCACCAAGUCUACGAUGUCUAGGGGUUCUGAGAGGAAGGUCCCCACACUGGAACUGAGACACGGUCCAGACUCCUACGGGAGGCAGCAGUGAGGAAUAUUGGUCAAUGGCCGAGAGGCUGAACCAGCCAAGUAGCGUGAAGGAUGAAGGUUCUAUGGAUUGUAAACUUCUUUUAUACGGGAAUAACAUCACCUACGUGUAGGUGCCUGCAUGUACCGUAUGAAUAAGCAUCGGCUAACUCCGUGCCAGCAGCCGCGGUAAUACGGAGGAUGCGAGCGUUAUCCGGAUUUAUUGGGUUUAAAGGGAGCGUAGACGGGAGAUUAAGUCAGCUGUGAAAGCCUGCGGCCCAACCGCAGAACUGCAGUUGAUACUGGUUUUCUUGAGUGCGUACGAGGUAUGUGGAAUUCGUGGUGUAGCGGUGAAAUGCUUAGAUAUCACGAAGAACUCCGAUUG
rnacentral:rRNA from 1 species